UUGAAACAGAGGUACAAGCCUACACACACAAAACAUCGUUUUAUUCAUCACCAUAAAAAAUAAUUAGAGUAAACAUAAACAAUAAUAUCCUUAUCAAGGAAGGAUCCGAUCCGUCUCCGACUAUUACUCAUUAUUUAUUAGAGUUAUAUAAUAUUACACUCUUUUAAGAAGCUUCUUUUCUCAUCAAGGAGAUUCAGGCCAAAUAUAUUAAGAAGGCUCUCAACACAUGGACUUGAAAGACAGAAUAAUAAUAAUGUUUACCUUGGAUAUUAAUCUCAUAUAUCUGUAAUUAGACUCUUUUCAGUGAAUAUUUAAAUAGAAGGAAAAAAUAGAGUCCUAUAAGAACUAAUCGUAGACAAAAAAAAAUCAAUUUGAGUUCAUCAUUGAAUUGAAGGGGGAAAAAGCCUUUUGGAAGUGGUUUUCUUUUGGAUUAUGGAUGUGAAUUCACUCAGGUCUGUUUUAAUUUGACUGCAAGUCAAGAAGAUUCAACAACCCUUCCGAAUCGACAGACUUGAAAAAAAUAAUUUUUUUUUAUUUUUUUCUACUUCAGUUAUCAUUCAUUAUAAUAUAUACUCU
rnacentral:lncRNA from 1 species